CUAGGUCCUCGUAUAUUAAAAAAAAAUGAAGCAACUUAAAGUGACUAAAUAUUUUGCUAUUACUUAUUAAUUAAUUAGUUUAUUAGUUAUUUUUUCUAGUAGUUAUGGUGAUUUAAGAAAAUAGAUGACAAAAAACAAAAAAAUCAGAAGUUGAGCCCUCUGUACCAUAGUGCCAGGAUCAGAUGACCCACUAACUAUGAGUGUAAUCGCCCAAAAAGAUUUAAAUAAUUCUAAGUCGUCAUUACUUCUUUUUACAUGCUGCCACAUUUGUCACUUAAGCUUAAAAAUUUGAAACAAUCCCUCAUUGAACACCUCAUAUUGCAGUAGAUAUACUCAACCCAAUCGUUCCUUUUUGAUGGUUGAUUAAUUGAUUAUACAUACUUUUCUUCACAGCUCGCCCAGUCCACUUUUACCAGCUACUGUUUCUAGAAUUGGGUGUUUCAAAAUUCAAUGAGGUUUUUUCUGACUACAAACUAUCCAUCUUUUUUUUAAAUAAGCUGUAUUUUUUUUAUUUGUUUUACACCCUUUCCUUUUUUUUGCUUUUAAAAUCUUAUAUUCUUCUUUCUACCGUUGUUAUAUAAAUUGUAGUAUAGUAGGAAAUGAUGUGCCAUAUUAUAUCUCAUAUAAAAUUGAGUCAUCUCUCCUGUUCUUGUGGGAGAUAACCAGCUGUUUUUUUUUAAUGAAGGUAACGUCAUCCUUAUAACCAUACUCCUUAGAGUAUGAUGAAACACUUAUAAGACACUAGAAAGAAUUAUUCGGAUUAGAAUUUUUUUAAAAAAGAAAGCAUGAUCUAAUUAACAAUAAAUUUUAAGCAUGUAUGAAAACUUAGAUAUAACUUACUUUCUGGUUGCUUUUCACAUCGCGUUUUCAUAUCACUAUUUCUAAUGACAUAAACACUAUUACCUAGUAUGACAAACAGGCGCCUAGUUUGCAUUUACAGGACUAACAAGAAUAGUUUCAAUGAGUCAUCUCAUCCGCCGGGGAAAUCCUUAGGCAGUAAACAGUUUAACAAAAAUUAAAUUCGAUUGUGUAAUUUUUUUCGUUUUUGUGAACACCUCUGGUUGUAUUUACUAGUUUCCAUAAUCGACUUUAUACUUUAAAACUAUAGUAAUUGUGUCUUUUGCUUUUUCCUAUAAUAAAAUUUGCUGCUUCUUCGUUUUUGAUUUUGACUGCGUAUUUCUUGUUUUGAGUUCUGUGUGAAUGUAGGUAAAUUAAUUUCUAGUAACAUUAUUAAACAUGUGGAAAAAAGUGCAGUUAAUGUUACAAUUUAAUAAAUUUUAUUUAGACUGAACAUAAUAAGUUUUACUUUAUCUCACAAAUUAAUAAUCAGACAGAAUUCAGCGAUUUGCUGUUAAAUAUUUAUUGUGUUCAGAAUAUUUCUGCAGCUUAUUAAAAGUAAUUGAUUAACUAAAAUUAAGUCGCUUAAAAGAAAUUGUCAUUUUAGAACAAUCAUAAUGUAAUUUUAUUUUGUGCAAACGUAAUGUAAAAGCAAUUGAUUAAAAUUGUUUCUUUUCCAUCGAAUCCGCAUCCCAAAACUUACUUUCUCAACUUUUUCUAAAUUAAUUUAUCUCUGUAAAUAUUUUCAUUAUCAUGUAAUAAUAACUUACUACUCGAUCAAAUGUUAGUUACCGUUCAAAUUUGUAAGUUAAGUAUAAAAUUUAAUGUUAGAUUCAUAAUUAAUAAAAAAAUGGCUAAUUGGCUUUAUGAACAAUCAAAUAUUUGAUUACUUAUUAUUUACAAUUUUAUGCUAUUGUUAGGACUUAAUUGUACUCGUAAUUACUUGUAGGAAGAACAAUCUAUAUUCGAUUUACUGAUUUGUAUAUUAACGUCGUUCCAAACUUCAAUUAUCAAUCAGUUCAGAAUGAAAUUCUUUGGAGUUGCAUUAUUUUUCUGCUUACUUGUCGCCGCAAGUUUUGCAAUCCCUGCUGAGCUAUUAGAGCCUAAAGCAGAAGGAGAUGGUGGUUUUUCGCCAAGGCAACGACGUUUGCCGCCCUACUGUGGCUGGGGCAAAGAACCUUGUUAUUAAAAAUUUCAUCGGGUAUCAAUGAAAUAAAGCAAUUAUAACACA